AGCCUUCUGUAUCCGUGCUGAGAUUUUGUCACACACCAAACCACAAGAGCUGAUAAGACUCCCAAGUAGACCUUUGAGUU
rfam:Schistosoma haematobium scaffold811_9, whole genome shotgun sequence.